rnacentral:tRNA from 1 species
UCCUCGUUAGCCCUGUGGUAGAGCGCUUCACUGGCAAUGGAGAGGUCCCUAGUUCGAUACCAGGACCAGGCG